rnacentral:rRNA from 1 species
AGAUUGAACGCUGGCGGCAUGCCUUACACAUGCAAGUCGAACGGCAGCACGGGAGCAAUCCUGGUGGCGAGUGGCGAACGGGUGAGUAAUAUAUCGGAACGUGCCCAGUCGUGGGGGAUAACGCAGCGAAAGCUGUGCUAAUACCGCAUACGAUCUAUGGAUGAAAGCGGGGGAUCGCAAGACCUCGCGCGAUUGGAGCGGCCGAUAUCAGAUUAGCUAGUUGGUGGGUAAAAGCCUACCAAGGCGACGAUCUGUAGCUGGUCUGAGAGGACGACCAGCCACACUGGAACUGAGACACGGUCCAGACUCCUACGGGAGGCAGCAGUGGGGAAUUUUGGACAAGUGGGCGCAAGCCUGAUCCAGCAAAUGACCGCGUGCGAGGGUGAAGG